rnacentral:snRNA from 1 species
GACAGACAUUCUAAAGACGAU